CUGAGCCCCACUUUUUAUUACUAGAUUCAUCAGACCUAAAAUUCAAUGUUGCAGUAAUGUUCAAUGGCUGUAAACAUUGCUUUUUUUUUUUUUUUACAUCUUUGUUGGAGUAUAAUUGCUUUACAAUGGUGUGUUGGUUUCUGCUUUAUAACAAAGUGAAUCAGUUAUACAUAUACAUGUGUUCCCAUAUCUCCUCCCUCUUGCAUCUCCCUCCCUCCCACCCUCCAUAUCCCACCCCUCUAGGUGGUCACAAAGCACCGAGCUGAUCUCCCUGUGCUAUGCAGCUGCUUCCCACCAGCUAUCUACCUUACAUUUGGUAGUGUAUAUAUGUCCAUGCCUCUCUCUCGCUUUGUCACAGCUUACCCUUCCCCCUCCCCAUAUCCUCAAGUCCAUUCUCUAGUAGGUCUGUGUCUUUAUUCCUGUCUUCAUUUCUAACUGGUUACUCUCAAUUUCUGUGCUUUUCUCACUGUCCACCAGAAACUGGCUGUUCAUGGACUGGCAGACCACCAUUCCAUUAGUACUGUAGUGAGAGGACAAAAUUUAACACUGAGCCUGAAACACACUUCUAAAUAUUUAACAAAUGUGAAAGAAAGAGGGAAAGGGAUAAGGAGGAGGGGAAUAACAAGUAAAGAGAGGAAGAGAGAAAGUUGAAGAAGCAUAGGAUUAAAAAAGUUAAAGGACUGGAACCAAAACUAUAAUAGACAUUGAUAGGCACCUGAGACAGAAGAGUUCACUAGUACCCUAAUGAGAUGAUUGGGUCAGGAUUAAUACUCAGUGUGGUUAUGUAGUUAUAUCUAGAAAUAUAUCUACAUCUUCCUACUAUCAUCUUACUUUGGUCUCCCAAAAUGUACACAUUUUAUUGUCAAUUGACACAUGACUUUAAUUCAGAACAACUCCCAGCUUCCCCAGAAUCUCUUCUCAUGUAUUUCUGGGAGUUCUCACCUUGUGUCUCAUUCAUGCUUAUGCUCAUGACUAGAUAUGGUGGGGUAUUUUCAUUAGAAAUUUAUGCAUGAGGAAAAAUAUAUCCUUGGGAGAGUAACUAUACCAACACAAGCCUGAUCCAGCAACCAAAUCUCAGAUGGGUAGAACUAACAAAGCUGAGAACAGUUAUGCCUGUUGCUUAUGCCUGGGUGAUUGUUUGAGUCCUAGAAAGAAGAUUAUAAGUAAAAGUUAAAAGUCUCGUUUAGUAAGCACAAGACAUUGUGAAAUAAACACAACACUUUGCUCCUCUUUGAAAAAAUGUGCAGGAAAGCAUUCUCCUUAUCUUUCCCCCACAGAAUACUGUAAAACUUUGACACCUUGAAGACUGGGUACACAGUAGGGGUGACUACUACAGGCAGAGAUAUUCUGUGGGUCCAGCAAUGUCCAAGAGAAAGGAGAGAAGUGCUCAGAUUAAUGGUACUCUUGACUGAGGUGGGGAAUUCCAGCUGAAAUAGCGUCUUCCCAUUGAUGAGACAAGUAAAAUGAUGAGUUUGAGUGGGAGAAGAGAAAAGAAAUAAGGUACAUCAAUAGGGGCUGACCAGACUUGUUUGUAAACCUACCCACUGAAGAUUAGAACAUAAAUAGAUGGGGUGGGGAGAAAUUUGUCCAAGUUUCUCAUUCCAUGGUUUUUGGUUUCAGUGCCUUUAUCUGUCUAUCUAUCUAUCUAUCUACCUAUCUAUCUAUAUAUCUACCUAUCAUCUAAAAUUUUAUUUUUAAAGUCUUAUAUUAGAAGACUGACAGAUAUUAUUAAAAAGAGGUCUUUGAAUUUUGUGGAACCAACUGAUAUACACAGUCAACAUGCCAUGUGUAGAGUGGGAAAAUCAGGGAAGCAAUACAAUGUGCAUGGCGUACCUUGCAAACCAGGUUAGUUAGCAUAUGCUGUUCCUUAUACAUACAAAUAUUUUGUCUUGUAAUGUCCUAGAUAAUUACAGUUAAAACUGAUUGAAACAUACAUGUAACCAAAGGGCCUGGCAGUCUGAACAUAUACUGGUACUGAGACAGGUUUGGACAUGCGUGAUCAAGUAAUGGUGACAUGGGCUUCCAGGAGGCAGUUUUCAUGAAGCAGUUUGGCGUUGCCCUUAAACUCUGACAAAAAUAGUGUAGGGGAAAAAAGGUGGCCCCAAAAUGCUAAACACGAGGAGAAAUCCCUAGUCAUUAUAACAAUCGAAAUAUCUCCUCACAGAUUCCCAAAUGCCUCCUUGAAGAAACUUUUAUUUCUCCUUUAUUCUACAUAUCCAGCUCUCUUAAGAGACAAUGUGUAAAUCUAUGAUGUUUAAAGAUUACUCAAUAUGAUGAUAGUUAAUACUUAUUGAGCACCUAUUCUAUGCCACCAUUGUGCUAAGCCCAACACCUACAUAUUUCAUUUAUUUCUCUCAGAAAACUUUAAAUUUCAUGCCAUUAUUUUAUUCAUCUUACAGUUGAGUAAACUAAGGUUACAAAUGUGAGGUAAAUUGCUUAAAUCCACACAGCUGGCAAGUGUUUACAUCUGAAUACUGGAUAUCAGAGUACAUAACCUGUAAAACGAUCUUUAAAGGACAAUAUACUUCACGUAACAUCAGUGGGGAAGAUAAGGGCUGAAAAGGGAAAAGCAUCAGAGCAUUCCUUUCAGAUGUUCCUUGAGUAUACAUACACCUUUACCAAAACACAUGCUUUUAAUAUGAGCUGGGGAUACUUUGCUGGUUUGAGCUUCAGGAAACCAGUAGGGCAUUGAAGUUAUGAGAGCAGAACUGGAAUAUAACAGACUCUAUUCAAAUUCUGGCUCUUCUUGAUUUUAGGCAAAGUUAUUCAAACUGCUUUGCUUUCAUUUUUUUUCACCUGUGAACCUAGUAAGGGAGAGAAAACUUAAACUAGUGGGAAAACUAUGACUGAAAGUCACAGCCCUGAGACAUAGGACCUUAAAAGCCUGAGACUUAAUUGGAAGAUUAUAGAAUGCUCCCUCUCCUCCACGUCUUACCACCAUUCCAACAGCACUCUGGUAUAACAGGGUGGAUUACAGCUGAAAGAGCUGCAAGCCAUUCUCCCUGAGGUGAAUUUAGGGAAUCUCAAAUAAAGAGGGGAGACAAAAAUCAAAGACAUUAAGGGAAUUUGAGGUCUCUGACACAUAACUACAGCAAACAUUAAGCACAGCUGAACUUCUAGCACAGUUAACAUAAAUUCUUAUAUUAAAGUUUAUUUACCUCAGUUCCUAUUACCCAAUUACAAUAUGUCCAACUUUCAACAACAACAACAAAAAGACUUAAAGGUAUGGCAAAAAAUAAGAAACAUACAAUUUGAAGAGACAGAGUGAUAAUCAAAACCAAACUCAGAUAUGGCACAGAUAAUGGAAUUAUCAGAUAGAAUUUUAAAUAACCAUGAUUAAUAUGGUAAGGUCUCUAAUGGAAAAAGUAGAGAACAUGCAAGAAUGGAUGUGUAUAUUCUAUUCACACUUCUUUAGAAAAUUAUGACAAAGAAAAAUCUUGAAAGAAACCAGAGGAAAAGAACAUCUCCAUAUAGAGAAACAAAGCUAAGAAUUACAAUGGACUUCUCAUCUGAAACUAUGCAAGCAAGAAGUGAUAUUUAAUUAUUGAAAGAAGGAAAAAAAUUGAGUAUUCUAUAUCCAACAAAUUCACUCAACAGGGAAGGAGAAAAAAAAUUUCUCAGUGAAACAAAAACUGAGGGAAUUUUCAGCAGACCUCUCUGCAGGAAAUAUUAAAAUAAUUUUUUUUAAAUUUUUUUUUAAUUAAUUAAUUUAUGUUUGGCUGCGUUGGGUCUUUGUUGCUGCAUUUGGGCUUUCUCUAGUUGCGGUGAGCAGGGGCUACUCUACAUUCCAGUGUGUGGGCUUCUCAUCAUGGUGGCUUCACUUGUUGUAGAGCGUAGGCUUCAGUAGUUGUGGCUCACAGGCUUAGUUGCUCUGUGACAUGUGGAAUCUUCCCAGACCAGGCUCGAACUCAUGUCCCCUGCAUUGGCAGGCAGAGUCUUAACCACUGCACCACCAGGGAAGUCCUAAAAGAAAUUCUUUAGGAAGAAGAAAAAUAAUAUAGAUCAAAAACUAUGAUCUACAUGAAGAAAGAAAGACCAUUGGAGAAGGAAAAAAAAAAUGAAGGUAAAAUAAAAUCUUUUAUUAAUUGAUCAAAAAAAAAA